UGGGGAAUAUUGCACAAUGGGGGAAACCCUGAUGCAGCGACGCCGCGUGAGCGAAGAAGUAUCUCGGUAUGUAAUGCUCUAUCAGCAGGGAAGAAAAAAAUGACGGUACCUGACUAAGAAGCCCCGGCUAACUACGUGCCAGCAGACGCGGUAAUACGUAGGGGGCAAGCGUUAUCCGGGUUUACUGGGUGUAAAGGGAGCGCAGGCGGUGAGGCAAGUCUGAUGUGAAAACCCGGGGCUCAACACCGGGACUGCAUUGGAAACUGUCUUACUUGAGUACCGGAGAGGUAAGUGGAAUUCCUAGUGUAGCGGUGAAAUGCGUAGAUAUUAGGAGGAACACCAGUGGCGAAGGCGGCUUACUGGACGGUAACUGACGCUGAGGCUCGAAAGCGUGGGGAGCAAACAGG
rnacentral:rRNA from 1 species